rnacentral:rRNA from 1 species
UUAAAUUGAAGAGUUUGAUCAUGGCUCAGAUUGAACGCUGGCGGCAGGCCUAACACAUGCAAGUCGAACGGUAACAGGAAGCAGCUUGCUGCUUCGCUGACGAGUGGCGGACGGGUGAGUAAUGUCUGGGAAACUGCCUGAUGGAGGGGGAUAACUACUGGAAACGGUAGCUAAUACCGCAUAACGUCGCAAGACCAAAGAGGGGGACCUUCGGGCCUCUUGCCAUCGGAUGUGCCCAGAUGGGAUUAGCUAGUAGGUGGGGUAACGGCUCACCUAGGCGACGAUCCCUAGCUGGUCUGAGAGGAUGACCAGCCACACUGGAACUGAGACACGGUCCAGACUCCUACGGGAGGCAGCAGU